CAAAGAAUAGUUUAUAUAAAAUAAUAAUUUUGGAGAUUAUAGAAAAUAAUUUAUUUUCUUUGA
rnacentral:tRNA from 1 species